ACCUGGGUGAGCUCAGUCGGUUAAGCACCUGACUUUGGUUCAGGUCAUGAUCUCAUGGUUUGUGGGUUCAAGUCCCACAUCAGGCU
rnacentral:tRNA from 1 species